AGAGUGGUGAAUCUCUGGAAUUCUCUGCCACAGAAGGCAGUGGAGGCCAAUUCACUGGAUUUUUUCCAAGAGAGAGUAGAUUUAGGUCUUGGGACUAACGGAAUCACGGGAUAUAGG